rnacentral:rRNA from 1 species
GGGUGCGAUCAUACCAGCGUUAAUGCACUGGAUCCCAUCAGAACUCCGUAGUUAAGCGCGCUUGGGCUAGAGCAGUACUGGGAUGGGUGACCUCCCAGGAAGUCCUAGCGUUGCACCCU